GACGAACGCUGGCGGCGUGCUUAACACAUGCAAGUCGAACGGAAAGGCCUGCUUUCCCUUGUGGAUUGCGGGUACUCGAGUGGCGAACGGGUGAGUAACACGUGAGUGAUCUGCCCCCAACUUGGGUAUAAGCCUGGGAAACUGGGUCUAAUUCCCGAUAGGACUGCAGGGUGGUGCCUGUGGUGGAAAACGAUUUUCUAGUGGUUGGGGAUGAGCUCGCGGCCUAUCAGCUUGUUGGUGGGGUAAUGGCCUACCAAGGCGGCGACGGGUAGCCGGCCUGAGAGGGUGGACGGCCACAUUGGGACUGGGAUACGGCCCAGACUCGUACGGGCGGCAGGAGUGGGGAAUAUUGGACAAUGGGCGGAAGCCUGAUGCAGCGACGCCGCGUGGGGGAUGACGGCGUUCGGGUUGUAAACUCCUUUCGACCGAGAGGAAGCCACCUGGUUGGAAGGGUGGUGACGGUAGUGGUAGAAGAAGCACCGGCUAACUACGUG
rnacentral:rRNA from 1 species